UACGUAGGGAGCAAGCGUUGUUCGGGUUUACUGGGCGUAAAGGGCGCGUAGGCGGCAAAUUAAGUCAGCUGUGAAAUCUCCGAGCUUAACUCGGAACGGUCAGCUGAUACUGAUCUGCUAGAGUGCGGAAGGGGCAAUCGGAAUUCUUGGUGUAGCGGUGAAAUGCGUAGAUAUCAAGAGGAACACCUGAGGUGAAGACGGGUUGCUGGGCCGACACUGACGCUGAGUGCGCGAAAGCCAGGGGAGCAAACGGG
rnacentral:rRNA from 1 species